rnacentral:rRNA from 1 species
CUACGGGAUGCUCCAGUGAGGAAUAUUGCACAAUGGGGGGAACUCUGAUGCAGCAACGCCGCGUGGAGGAUGACGCAUUUCGGUGUGUAAACUCCUUUUAUAUGUCAAGAAAAUGACGGUAGCAUAUGAAUAAGCACCGGCUAACUCCGUGCCAGCAGCCGCGGUAAUACGGAGGGUGCAAGCGUUACUCGGAAUCACUGGGCGUAAAGGACGCGUAGGCGGGUUGGAAAGUCAGGUGUGAAAUCCUACAGCUUAACUGUAGAACUGCACUUGAAACGUCUAAGCUAGAGUAUGGGAGGGGGAGAUGGAAUUAGUGGUGUAGGGGUAAAAUCCGUAGAUAUCACUAGGAAUACCUAAAGCGAAGGCGAUCUCCUGGAACAUUACUGACGCUAAGGCGUGAAAGCGUGGGGAGCAAACAGGAUUAGAUACCCCGGUAGUC